UGGUUCUGGCAUCGAUGAAGAACGCAGCGAAAUGCGAUAAGUAAUGUGAAUUGCAGAAUUCAGUGAAUCAUCGAAUCUUUGAACGCACAUUGCGCCCUUUGGUAUUCCGAAGGGCAUACCUGUUCGAGCGUCAUUAACAAACUCAAGCCCUGCUUGUCAUUGGGAUUGCUCUUAGGAGCAUACCUAAAAGAAACUUAAAGGUAGUUGCCAAUUCAAAACGUACAGGCGAAAGCAAUCGUGGAGAAUUCGUAACCGUCUUAACUAAAUUUUUUCUUGAAUUGACCUCGGAUCAGGUAGGGAUACCCGCUGA
rnacentral:misc_RNA from 1 species